rnacentral:rRNA from 1 species
UACGGAGGAUGCGAGCGUUAUCCGGAUUUAUUGGGUUUAAAGGGUGCGCAGGCGGCACGGCAAGCCGGCGGUCAAAUCGCGGGGCUCAACCCCGCCCAGCCGUCGGAACUGCCGGGCUAGAGUGGGCGAGAAGUGCGCGGAAUGCGUGGUGUAGCGGUGAAAUGCAUAGAUAUCACGCAGAACUCCGAUUGCGAAGGCAGCGCACCCGCGCCCUACUGACGCUCAGGCACGAAAGCGUGGGUAUCGAACAGG